rnacentral:rRNA from 1 species
GGGGAAUUUUGGACAAUGGGCGCAAGCCUGAUCCAGCCAUGCCGCGUGCAGGAUGAAGGCCUUCGGGUUGUAAACUGCUUUUGUACGGAACGAAAAGACUCUGGUUAAUACCUGGGGUCCAUGACGGUACCGUAAGAAUAAGCACCGGCUAACUACGUGCCAGCAGCCGCGGUAAUACGUAGGGUGCGAGCGUUAAUCGGAAUUACUGGGCGUAAAGCGUGUGCAGGCGGUUUUGUAAGACAGGCGUGAAAUCCCCGGGCUCAACCUGGGAACUGCGCUUGUGACUGCAAGACUAGAGUACGGCAGAGGGGGGUGGAAUUCCACGUGUAGCAGUGAAAUGCGUAGAGAUGUGGAGGAACACCAAUGGCGAAGGCAGCCCCCUGGGUCGAUACUGACGCUCAUGCACGAAAGCGUGGGGAGCAAACA